CCAUGCCGUAAUGACCAAAAAAUAAACUGUAGCAAAUAAAUUAUCAAAUAUUCCUCGAAGUAUUUAUAACAAAAUUAAAUGUUGGAAAUCGAAAAUCGAACGUGUAGUGCACAUGUCACGCGGUUAAAUACACGUGCAAUGCAACAGAGCCAAAUGAGAAGUAAAGCAAAACCAAGAACCAAUCAUUAUUUCAGUUUACUAGUAGUGGCGGUUGGCAUGUUGAUAUUAUCGAUAUAAUUUAAAUGAUAUUGAUAGAAAAAAUGUUCAGAUCCUUCAUACUGCUUUUCUAGAAAGGAAUAAUAUUUACGAGAAAAAGAUUUCGAAUAGGUUUUUGUUAAAAUGGUUAACACGGAAGACGGGGAUAUUAACGAAGGAGUGUUAAAUUUAAUAAAUGAUAUUCAUUAUGGCGAUGUCAAUGGUACACAUAAUAUCGUAGUGGCUACUAUAUUGGUUCUGAAAGAUAUCAUAAAUAAUGCAGAAUGGACUACUGCUGAGAAUUUAAUCAAUAUAAUUACAAAAAAUGGAAAGUAUUUAGUGGAAGCUAUUCCCCUUGAAUUCUCUAUUGGAAAUAUGGUCCGUAGAAUAUUACAAAUAAUUAGAGAAGAAUAUACUUCCGAAUUAAAAAAUAAUACUGAUGAAACAGAUACACAAGAAUCUCUACAUAAAAUUCUCACUGCUGAAGGUGAUCAGGAAGUUGAUUUUAACAUUUCUAUACCUUCUUUAAAAUCAGCUAUCAUAGAACAUAUUAAUGAAUUUGAAGUUGAGUUAGAAACCUGUGCAGAAAAUAUUACACAGCAAGCUUCUGAACACAUUCAUUCUAACGAAAUUAUUAUGACAAUUGGUAAAUCUACAUUAGUGGAGGAAUUUUUUAAUAGAGCAGCUAAAACAAGAGCUUUCGAAGUUAUAGUAGCUGAAGGAGGGCCGUCAUUAAGUGGUCAUGAAAUGGCAGUAAAUCUGUCAAAGGCAAAAAUCAAAACUACUUUAAUAUCAGAUGUAGCAAUUUUUGCAAUGAUGUCUCGAGUGAAUAAAGUAAUAAUUGGUACACAUUCUGUCAUGGCAAAUGGAGGAUUGAGAGCUAUUUCAGGUUCACAUACAGUUGCUCAAGCUGCAAAACAUUAUUCUGUCCCAGUAAUGGUUUUACUACCGCUGUAUAAACUCUCGCCACUCUAUCUUUACUCUCAUGAACAAGAUGGUUUUAACAAACAUGAUUCACCAUUGCAAGGUGUAAUUGAUGGUGCAAAUGCAUCUUUGUUAGAAAGAAUUCAUGUGUAUAAUCCAGUUUUUGAUUAUGUGCCCCCAGAAUUAGUUACAUUAUUUAUUUCAAACUCGGGUGGAAAUGCACCAUCAUAUGUUUACAGAUUGCUUAGUGAACUGUACCACCCAGAUGAUUAUGAAUUAUAAUAGAUAAGUGUAGAAACAUAUUUAUACAUGUAUAUUUGUAACCAAGCGCUUUUUUGAAAUAAUUGUUAAAUUCUUCCCAAGUUAAUGCUUUUAAUAAAAAAAAUGGGAUAGGAACCAUAGAUAUUUAAAAGCAACUUUUCUAACAGGAAUAUUUAUUUACACAUUAAGAUAUAUAUACAAAUUUGGAAUUUGUUUCUUCUGUUUGGUAUGUUAUACGUAAGGAUUCCAAUUACUGCCAUCUUCAGGUUGUAAAGAACCUGUGACUAACA